rnacentral:rRNA from 1 species
AAUUUUGGACAAUGGGGGAAACCCUGAUCCAGCCAUCCCGCGUGUAUGAUGAAGGCCUUCGGGUUGUAAACCUCUUUCAGUAGGGACGAAGCGCAAGUGACGGUACCUACAGAAGAAGCACCGGCCAACUACGUGCCAGCACCCGCGGUAAUACGUAGGGUGCGAGCGUUGUCCGGACUUAUUGGGCGUAAAGGGCUCGUAGGCGGUUUGUCGCGUCGGGAGUGAAAACUCAGGGCUUAACCCUGAGCCUGCUUCCGAUACGGGCAGACUAGAGGUAUGCAGGGGAGAACGGAAUUCCUGGUGUAGCGGUGAAAUGCGCAGAUAUCAGGAGGAACACCGGUGGCGAAGGCGGUUCUCUGGGCAUUACCUGACGCUGAGGAGCGAAAGUGUGGGGAGCGAAC